rnacentral:tRNA from 1 species
GCCGGGGUGGCGUAGUUGGUAGCGCGUCGGACUCAUAGGGUAACUUUCUGCGGGGGGCACAGCCCCUCUGGAGCUAGUCGAUGAGCGCAACAGCCUAACUGAAGAUUGUCUGAGACAUCCGAAGGUCGCGGGUUCAAGUCCCGCUCCCGGCA